rnacentral:rRNA from 1 species
GACGAACGCUGGCGGCGUGCUUAACACAUGCAAGUCGAACGGAAAGGCCCCUUUGGGGGUCCUCGAGUGGCGAACGGGUGAGUAACACGUGAGUAACCUGCCCUUGACUUCGGGAUAACUUCAGGAAACUGGGGCUAAUACCGGCUAGGAAUCCUUGCUGCAUGGUGGGGGUUGGAAAGCUUCGGCGGUUUUGGAUGGACUCGCGGCUUAUCAGCCUGUUGGUGGGGUAGUGGCUUACCAAGGCUUUGACGGGUAGCCGGCCUGAGAGGGCGACCGGCCACAUUGGGACUGAGAUACGGCCCAGACUCCGACGGGAGGCAGCAGUGGGGAAUAUUGCACAAUGGGCGGAAGCCUGAUGCAGCAACGCCGCGUGCGGGAGGACGGCCUUCGGGUUGUAAACCGAUUUCAGCAGGGGCGAAGCUUGUGGUGACGGUACCUGCAGAAGAAGCACCGGCUAACUACGUG